CACAAAAUUAAAGCAACAGAAGGAAUAUGCGAAACAAGUUAAGGAAUACAACAUGAAAGCUCUGUCCUCUGGAUCAAAACCACAAACAGCAAAACCUGAGAGUAAACCUUCCAUUUCUCGGCAGAAGGCUUUGGAAUAUGCUAAAAAAAUUCCGAAACCUAAACCAGUUUUGCCACCGAAUCUGAAUGAUCAAGAAUUGAAGCAAACGAGCAAUUCAUCUGUUUCUGGAAAAGAAAGGAAUUUACCUGAAAUCUCAUUACUAGAAGUGCUACAGAGCAGACACGAAAGAGAAAAACAGGCUGUUGCUGCUUUCAAAGUCCUUCACAUAGUAUAGAAAAUGUGUCCUUAUGAAGACCUAGUAGGGGCAAAAUUUAUGAAAAAAGGGAACUCCAAUACACAAUACAAUUGUUCCCUAUAGACAGGGACUGCCUUUUUUUCUAAUCAGGAUACAGUCUAUAUAUGUUUCUAUAGGAUUAAAAAUAUUGGGCCAUAUUACAUGGCUCCAGAAUCUGCUUUCUUUUGGGUCAGAAAUUAUAUUGAAAUCAUUUACUUUUCAAAUCAGUAAGAAUUUGAACAUUAAAGCCUUUUAGUUUAAUAAUAUUGGAUAUUUUGAUUUUUUAAUAUGCUUAUUUUUGUUUUAUAAAAUUCUACCAAUGAUGUUGUAUGAAAUUAAUUUGCUCAUACUUAUCUCUUUCUUGUUAAGGAAAAUAUUUUUAAAAGAAUUUCAUUUUUUCCCGCAAUAAAAUUUACAUAGACUAUUUGAUCACAAGUAAAUUUUGAAUCAAUAUUUUAUAAAAUUAUGAAAAUAAUAAAUGGAGUUUCAUAUAAUGUAUGUGUGUGCUUAUAUGGAAAAAUCCAGAAAUGGGAGCACAUUUAAUUGUACCCAUUCAAAAUGAGCAGAUUUUAACUUUCUCUUCUAAGAAAGCAUCAGUUAGAUUUAAUUGAGUAGAUCCAGAAGUACCCAACUGAAUUCAGGCACAUCUAGACAAAUGUUCUUGAAAAAAAAAUCAUUUCAAUACCACAUACAUUUAUUAAGCACUUACCAGAUGCUAGGCACUAGGUUAGAUACUAGGAAAACAAAGAAGAAAUACAACACAGUUCAUAUCUUCAAGGAGCAAAGGAGAAAGCCAGAUAAAAUGCUAAAAGAAAAUAUGAAGGGGAAAUCUUUUUCAACUAGGUUUCAUGGAAAUGACACGAAGUUGAGUCUUCAAAAAAGAGAAUUUCAAAAGUUGUUCAGGCAUAGGAAAUGAUCUGUAUAAGCGCCAACUUUAGAGAAUACAGGUAAAAUUGGGGAAACUUUGGCCAGUGAAAUUUGGCUAAGACAUAAAAGACAUAAAGAGGAAGGAGUGUGAAGGAAAAAAAGUUAAAGUUAAAUCGUAGGUGUGCUAGUUUAAGGAGUUUUUAUUUUAGCCUAUUUUAUUACAGUAGAUCUACUAAUGCAGAGGUGUAAUCUGAUUACACCAGAUGUCACUAAUGCAGAGAUGUGAUUUUAUUAUACAGGAUGUCUCAAAAGUCUUACUUGCUUUUAUGACCUUUAGAACUUAAAAAUUAUUGUUUUGGAGCAUGGAUUGGACAGGAACCUGAGAAUGGAGAAGGAAAUAAGGUUAGUGCAACAUAACCUAGGGAAGAGGUGAUAUGGACCUCAAAUAGGUGGUAGAAGUAUUUGUGUAGAAGAAGAGCCAGAUGCACAAAAUGUUUUAGAGAUUGAAUUGACAGGACCUUGAAAUGGAUUUGGGGUGAGGGAGAGAGUUAGAGAGAGAAAGGGGGGAGGAAUGAUAAAAAAAAGAAAGCUUCAAAGUUCUGUACCUGGAUUACUGGAUAGAUAGUAGAACAUCAAUAAAAAUAAAAAAAUUGGAGAAGAAACAGGUUUCAAGAAGACUCAUUUUUAUCUGGAUACAUAAAUUUUCUUAGGCCAUCUGCACAUCUCAAAUAAUUCAAAACAAUGUCAAUUGUACUCUUAUGCCACUGCAAUAACUUCCAAGAUGAUUCUAGACAAACUUAAAUAAUUGUACAGUUGCUAAUUCAUAUUUGGGUCAUUUAUUGAAUGUAAGUUUCGAUCAUUAGCUUUGCUAAUUUACUUGUUCUGCCUAAAAUAUAUCUGUAAAAUUUCCCAUUUCUUAAAAUAAAUCAUUAUUGGAGAAUA